UACGUAGGGUGCAAGCGUUGUUCGGAAUUACUGGGCGUAAAGGGCGUGUAGGCGGUGCGGUAUGUUGGACGUGAAAUCCCCGGGCUCAACUCGGGGCGGUCGUUCAAAACUGCCGUGCUAGAGUGUGGGAGAGGGAAGUGGAAUUCCCGGUGUAGCGGUGAAAUGCGUAGAUAUCGGGAAGAACACCUGUGGCGAAGGCGGCUUCCUGGCCCGCAACUGACGCUGAGGCGCGAAAGCUAGGGGAGCAAACAGG
rnacentral:rRNA from 1 species